GAUGAAGAACGCAGCGAAAUGCGAUACGUAAUGUGAAUUGCAGAAUUCAGUGAAUCAUCGAGUCUUUGAACGCACAUUGCGCCCCCUGGUAUUCCGGGGGGCAUGCCUGUCCGAGCGUCAUUGCUGCCCUCAAGCACGGCUUGUGUGUUGGGCCUCCGUCCUCCUCCCGGGGGACGGGCCCGAAAGGCAGCGGCGGCACCGCGUCCGGUCCUCGAGCGUAUGGGGCUUCGUCACCCGCUCUUGUAGGCCCGGCCGGCGCCCGCCGGCGACCCCAAUCAAUCUUUCCAGGUUGACCUCGGAUCAGGUAGGGAUACCCGCUGAACUUAAGCAUAUCAAUAAGCGGAGGA
rnacentral:misc_RNA from 1 species